UACGGGGGGGGCAAGCGUUGUUCGGAAUUACUGGGCGUAAAGGGCUCGUAGGCGGCCAACUAAGUCGGAUGUGAAAUCCCCAGGCUUAACCUGGGAACUGCAUCCGAUACUGGAUGGCUUGAAUCCGGGAGAGGGAUGCAGAAUUCCAGGUGUAGCGGUGAAAUGCGUAGAUAUCUGGAGGAAUACCGGUGGCGAAGGCGGCAUCCUGGACCGGCAUUGACGCUGAUGAGCGAAAGCUAGGGGAGCAAGCGGG
rnacentral:rRNA from 1 species